rnacentral:rRNA from 1 species
CCUACGGGAGGCAGCAGUAGGGAAUAUUGCUCAAUGGGGGAAACCCUGAAGCAGCAACGCCGCGUGAGGGAUGAAGGUUUUCGGAUUGUAAACUCCUUUUGUUAGGGAAGAUAAUGACGGUAUCUAACGAAUAAGCACCGGCUAACUCCGUGCCAGCAGCCGCGGUAAUACGGAGGGUGCAAGCGUUACUCGGAAUCACUGGGCGGAAAGAGCGCGUAGGCGGGAUAGCAAGUCAGAUGGGAAAUCCUAUGGCUUAAACAUAGAACUGCAUUUGAAACUGUUAUUCUAAGGUUGGGGAGAGGGAAGUGGGAUUCCUGGUGGAGGGGGAAAA